rnacentral:rRNA from 1 species
AUUGAACGCUGGCGGCAGGCUUAACACAUGCAAGUCGACCGAGUGGCGGACGGGUGCGUAAUGCUUGGGAAUCUGUCUUGUGGGGGGGGAUAACUACGGGAAACUGUAGCUAAUACCGCCUACCAUAUGAUGAGCCCCAGUGGGAUUAGGUAGUUGGUGAGGUAAAGGCGCACCAAGCCGACGAUAUCUAGCUGGUCUGAGAGGAUGACCAGCCACACUGGGACUGAGACACGGCCCAGACUCCUACGGGAGGCAGCAGUGGGGAAUCUUGCGCAAUGGGGGCAACCUGACGCAGCCAGGCCGCGUGAAUGAAGAAGGCCUGGGGGUGGUAAAGUUCUUUCGGUAGCGAGGCGUUAACGACAGAAGAAGCACCGGCUAACUCCGUGCCAGCAGCCGCGGUAAUUC